rnacentral:rRNA from 1 species
UGAGUAAUGCAUAGGAAUCUGCCCGAUAGUGGGGGAUAACCUGGGGAAACCCAGGCUAAUACCGCAUACGUCCUACGGGAGAAAGGGGGCUCCGGCUCCCGCUAUGGGAUGAGCCUAUGUCGGAUUAGCUAGUUGGUGAGGUAACGGCUCACCAAGGCAACGAUCCGUAGCUGGUCUGAGAGGAUGAUCAGCCACAUCGGGACUGAGACACGGCCCGAACUCCUACGGGAGGCAGCAGUGGGGAAUAUUGGACAAUGGGCGCAAGCCUGAUCCAGCCAUGCCGCGUGUGUGAAGAAGGCCCUCGGGUUGUAAAGCACUUUCAGCGAGGAAGAACGCCUAGCGGUUAAUACCCGCUAGGAAAGACAUCACUCGCAGAAGAAGCACCGGCUAACUCCGUGCCAGCAGCCGCGGUAAUACGGAGGGUGCAAGCGUUAAUCGGAAUUACUGGGCGUAAAGCGCGCGUAGGUGGCUUGAUAAGCCGGUUGUGAAAGCCCCGGGCUCAACCUGGGAACGGCAUCCGGAACUGUCAAGCUAGAGUGCAGGAGAGGAAGGUAGAAUUCCCGGUGUAGCGGUGAAAUGCGUAGAGAUCGGGAGGAAUACCAGUGGCGAAGGCGGCCUUCUGGACUGACACUGACACUGAGGUGCGAAAGCGUGGGUAGCAAACAGGAUUAGAUACCCUGGUAGUCCACGCCGUAAACGAUGUCGACCAGCCGUUUGGGUGCCUAGCGCACUUUUGUGGCGAAGUUUAACGCGAUAAGUCGACCGCCCUGGGGAGUACGGCCCGCAAGGUUAAAAACUCAAAUUGAAUUGACGGGGGGCCCCGCACAAGCCGGUGGAACCAUGUGGGUUUUAUUUCGAUGCAACGCGAA